AUUGAACGCUGGCGGCAGGCCUAACACAUGCAAGUCGAGCGAGAGGCGGACGGGUGAGUAAUGUAUGGGGAUCUGCCUGAUGGAGGGGGAUAACUACUGGAAACGGUAGCUAAUACCGCAUACCAUCAGAUGAACCCAUAUUGGAUUAGCUUGUGGGUGAGGUAAAGGCUCACCAAGGCGACGAUCCCUAGCUGGUCUGAGAGGAUGACCAGCCCCACUGGGACUGAGACACGGCCCAGACUCCUACGGGAGGCAGCAGUGGGGAAUAUUGCACAAUGGGCGCAAGCCUGAUGCAGCCAUGCCGCGUGAAUGAAGAAGGCCUUCGGGUUGUAAAGUACUUUCAGUCGGGAGGCGUUACCGACAGAAGAAGCACCGGCUAACUCCGUGCCAGCAGCCGCGGUAAUAC
rnacentral:rRNA from 1 species